ACAGGUGCUGCAUGCCUGUCGUCAGCUCGUGCCGUGAGGUGUUUGGUUAAGUCCUUUUAACGAGCGCAACUCUUAUUCUAUUUUGGUAAAUUUUUAAGAUGCUUAUAAUUUUNNNNNNNCAACUCUUAGAAAACUGCUAGUAAAAAGCUAGAGGAAGGUGAGAAUGAAGUCAAGUCCUUAUGGCCCUUAUAGACUGGGCUACUCAUGUGCUACAAUGAUAAUCACAAUAAGUUAUACAACAGAGCAAUUUGAAGUUAAUCUUUAAAAAUUAUCGUGUUCGGAUUUUUGGCUGCAAUUCGCCAAAAUGAAGUUGGAAUCACAAGUAAUCGUAGAUUAGCAUGCUACGGUGAAUCUGUACUUAGAUCUUGCACACACCGCCCGUCA
rnacentral:rRNA from 1 species